rnacentral:rRNA from 1 species
UUUAUCGGAGAGUUUGAUCCUGGCUCAGGACGAACGCUGGCGGCGUGCCUAAUACAUGCAAGUCGAGCGGACAGAUGGGAGCUUGCUCCCUGAUGUUAGCGGCGGACGGGUGAGUAACACGUGGGUAACCUGCCUGUAAGACUGGGAUAACUCCGGGAAACCGGGGCUAAUACCGGAUGGUUGUUUGAACCGCAUGGUUCAAACAUAAAAGGUGGCUUCGGCUACCACUUACAGAUGGACCCGCGGCGCAUUAGCUAGUUGGUGAGGUAAUGGCUCACCAAGGCAACGAUGCGUAGCCGACCUGAGAGGGUGAUCGGCCACACUGGGACUGAGACACGGCCCAGACUCCUACGGGAGGCAGCAGUAGGGAAUCUUCCGCAAUGGACGAAAGUCUGACGGAGCAACGCCGCGUGAGUGAUGAAGGUUUUCGGAUCGUAAAGCUCUGUUGUUAGGGAAGAACAAGUACCGUUCGAAUAGGGCGGUACCCUGACGGUACCUAACCAGAAAGCCACGGCUAACUACGUGCCAGCAGCCGCGGUAAUACGUAGGUGGCAAGCGUUGUCCGGAAUUAUUGGGCGUAAAGGGCUCGCAGGCGGUUUCUUAAGUCUGAUGUGAAAGCCCCCGGCUCAACCGGGGAGGGUCAUUGGAAACUGGGGAACUUGAGUGCAGAAGAGGAGAGUGGAAUUCCACGUGUAGCGGUGAAAUGCGUAGAGAUGUGGAGGAACACCAGUGGCGAAGGCGACUCUCUGGUCUGUAACUGACGCUGAGGAGCGAAAGCGUGGGGAGCGAACAGGAUUAGAUACCCUGGUAGUCCACGCCGUAAACGAUGAGUGCUAAGUGUUAGGGGGUUUCCGCCCCUUAGUGCUGCAGCUAACGCAUUAAGCACUCCGCCUGGGGAGUACGGUCGCAAGACUGAAACUCAAAGGAAUUGACGGGGGCCCGCACAAGCGGUGGAGCAUGUGGUUUAAUUCGAAGCAACGCGAAGAACCUUACCAGGUCUUGACAUCCUCUGACAAUCCUAGAGAUAGGACGUCCCCUUCGGGGGCAGAGUGACAGGUGGUGCAUGGUUGUCGUCAGCUCGUGUCGUGAGAUGUUGGGUUAAGUCCCGCAACGAGCGCAACCCUUGAUCUUAGUUGCCAGCAUUCAGUUGGGCACUCUAAGGUGACUGCCGGUGACAAACCGGAGGAAGGUGGGGAUGACGUCAAAUCAUCAUGCCCCUUAUGACCUGGGCUACACACGUGCUACAAUGGACAGAACAAAGGGCAGCGAAACCGCGAGGUUAAGCCAAUCCCACAAAUCUGUUCUCAGUUCGGAUCGCAGUCUGCAACUCGACUGCGUGAAGCUGGAAUCGCUAGUAAUCGCGGAUCAGCAUGCUGCGGUGAAUACGUUCCCGGGCCUUGUACACACCGCCCGUCACACCACGAGAGUUUGUAACACCCGAAGUCGGUGAGGUAACCUUUUAGGAGCCAGCCGCCGAAGGUGGGACAGAUGAUUGGGGUGAAGUCGUAACAAGGUAGCCGUAUCGGAAGGUGCGGCUGGAUCACCUCCUUUCUA